GGAAGUUUGGACGGUCGUCGGAGGUUCUGCGAGAACAGAUCCGAGAAGUCCAGAAGCUUGCCAAGCGAAGCUCGUCGGAACUCACCAAGUGGAUCGUCGCAAAGUCCAGGAGUUUGCCGGAAGUCCGCAGGAGCAUCACCGAGGGUUCAUCGGAUGAUCGACGGAAGUUCGACGGAAACUCGCCGGAAGAAGCGAUUGACGCACCGAAGCAAAG
rnacentral:lncRNA from 1 species